rnacentral:rRNA from 1 species
GUGGGGAAUUUUGGACAAUGGGCGCAAGCCUGAUCCAGCAAUGCCGCGUGCAGGAAGAAGGCCUUCGGGUUGUAAACUGCUUUUGUACGGAACGAAACGGCUCUGGUUAAUACCUGGGGCUAAUGACGGUACCGUAAGAAUAAGCACCGGCUAACUACGUGCCAGCAGCCGCGGUAAUACGUAGGGUGCGAGCGGUAAUCGGAAUUACUGGGCGUAAAGCGUGCGCAGGCGGUGCUGUAAGACAGGCGUGAAAUCCCCGGUCUCAACCUGGGAAUUGCGCUUGUGACUGCAGUGCUGGAGUACGGCAGAGGGGGAUGGAAUUCCGCGUGUAGCAGUGAAAUGCGUAGAUAUGCGGAGGAACACCGAUGGCGAAGGCAGUCCCCUGGGCCUGUACUGACGCUCAUGCACGAAAGCGUGGGGAGCAAACAGGAUUAGAAACCCUAGUAGUCC